rnacentral:lncRNA from 1 species
UAGAUACAGAGGUACUGUGUGCAUGCAACGAGAGAGGUGCUCAGCUUGUAGCGUAAAAGAAAACCCACAGAUGAAAGGCACUGGCCUUUGUUGCAAAACAACAGUACUUAAGGACCGCUAGCUGGAAACUGAGAGAAUUUCCUGGAGUAUUACAUUCUCCCAUUCAGAGCGUGGACAAGAGUUUGGCAUUGCGCUUUUACAGAUCGCUGCUGGUAGCGGAGCACAAAGGGAACGACGAGACUCCUGCAUCUUUCAGCAAGAAGAAAGGAGUCAGUGGAGCAGACUAAUACGGACUUGUGUCGGGUGGCCUUGCCCUACAAAGGCUGCCUUUAAAAGAGAAACGCAGUGUUAUUUAAUGAGCUGUGAGAUGAAGCACUGCUGCUAACGCUCAGAUCCCGGGAUUCAUCGGCUAUUCAUUGUGCUUAAUGUACAUGUUUCUGCACCGUGCAUUUAGGAGAACCCAGAGAAGAAUCCAAAACGGCUG